rnacentral:rRNA from 1 species
GUGGGGAAUAUUGGCCAAUGGGCGCAAGCCUGAUCCAGCCAUGCCGCGUGAGUGAUGAAGGCCUUAGGGUUGUAAAGCUCUUUUGUCCGGGAAGAUAAUGACUGUACCGGAAGAAUAAGCCCCGGCUAACUUCGUGCCAGCAGCCGCGGUAAUACGAAGGGGGCUAGCGUUGUUCGGAAUCACUGGGCGUAAAGCGCACGUAGGCGGUCUAUUAAGUCAGGGGUGAAAGCCUGGAGCUCAACUCCAGAACUGCCUUUGAUACUGAUGGUCUCGAGUAUGGAAGAGGUUGGUGGAACUGCGAGUGUAGAGGUGAAAUUCGUAGAUAUUCGCAAGAACACCGGUGGCGAAGGCGGCCAACUGGUCCAUUACUGACGCUGAGGUGCGAAAGCGUGGGGAGCAAACAGGAUUAGAAACCCGAGUAGUCC